rnacentral:rRNA from 1 species
AUUGAACGCUGGCGGCAGGCCUAACACAUGCAAGUCGAGCGGAUGAAGGGAGCUUGCUCCUGGAUUCAGCGGCGGACGGGUGAGUAAUGCCUAGGAAUCUGCCUGGUAGUGGGGGAUAACGUCCGGAAACGGGCGCUAAUACCGCAUACGUCCUGAGGGUGAAAGUGGGGGAUCUUCGGACCUCACGCUAUCAGAUGAGCCUAGGUCGGAUUAGCUAGUUGGUGGGGUAAAGGCGUACCAAGGCGACGAUCCGUAACUGGUCUGAGAGGAUGAUCAGUCACACUGGAACUGAGACACGGUCCAGACUCCUACGGGAGGCAGCAGUGGGGAAUAUUGGGCAAUGGGCGAAAGCCUGAUCCAGCCAUGCCGCGUGUGUGAAGAAGGUCUUCGGAUUGUAAAGCACUUUAAGUUGGGAGGAAGAGCAGUAAGUUAAUCCCUUGCUGUUUUGACGUUACCAACACAAUAAGCACCGGCUAACUUCGUG